rnacentral:lncRNA from 1 species
AGCCAGCACAGCCAUCCUUUCACAGCAUCCAUGACAUUCAGCCUCCUCUCAGACACGGGAAGAUCACCUCUUCAUGAAACAGCAGAUUCUUCAAGAUGAGGAAAUGGAGGAACAAAGCAGUGAAGUAAUCUGUCCAAAGCCCAAAAGUUGAAUCGUUGAAACUGGCAUCUGAAAGCAAGUAGCCUGGCUUCAGAGUAUAUGCUUUUAAUUGCUGUGUUAUA